GCUAAUCUGUGGCCAAGGUGAGAGAGUGAAACCUGAAUGCAUGCUCUUUGUCUCCCUCCACAGCUGCUUUGCCAAGUUACAUCAGGCCAGGCUUUCUGGAGGCACUGUUAAUGCUAAGAACAAGGAAUAUAAGAAAAUCCUUCAAACAGUCAAGCGCUGUCUUUCCGUUGUCAAUGAGGACUAUGAGGAAGACUAUGAACAGGAUGCCCAUGAAUGUGUGUUGCUCCUCCUCUUUCAGCUGAAGGAGGAGGGUAUGGCAUUAAAGGGCUCACCAGAGCCAUACACCUGCCCCGUGAAGCAGUUAGAAUUCAAGCUGAAGACUUCCCGUACCUGCACCAGCUGUGGAGUUAUAGUGUAUGGUCAGGAGGAUUAUAAUCACCUGUCACUGAGCCUGAGCCAUUACCUGACACACAGCCUGGACCUCUACUUUAAGCCAUCUGCGUUAGAGUGUGCAUGCAGGGUGUGCUCAGGCAGCAUGGCAUCUGUGACUAGGCACUUCCUCACGCUGCCCCGGGUCCUAAUGCUUCAUAUCAAGCGAUUUACUGCAGGCGACUGGGAGCCAGAGAAGGUGGAUGAUCCCAUGUCCAUCCCUGCAGAAAUAACCCUCCCAGCCGUAUGUGGGAAGACAGCCCAUGUCCAGUAUGGAGCCAGGGCAAGCUCCCUGGGGAGAAACAACAUGGACAACACACCUGCAAACUCCCCGAAAGGCACCCUUGAUAGACCAGAGACACCAGCCAGACAAUAUCUACAAAUUGUCAAGUGUGAUCUCACAUCUGGGAGACAACAUGUAUACAGGCCACUACAUCAGUGAUGUUUUGGACAGCCGUGGCAGUGGGUGGCUCUGCCUGGAUGACGCACAUGUCUUGAGGACAGAUGAGGCCACUGUGCUGAAGGCGAUUGCACAGACUGCCUACAUCCUGUUCUAUGUCUGCAGUGGAGCAGGUGAAGGAGACCAGGCCCCUCACUACCAGGAGAAGCACCAGGAGAACCCAUCAUUAAACUCAGGGAGAGGCACAGCGCUCAGGGACCACCUGGAGUAGCACCUACCACACACCAAGAAACAUCAGAUUCAUCGAAUUAGGCUGCCCUACACCACCAUCAACUGCCUUAGACCACCAUAAAGCUGCCCUAGACCACCAUCAGGCUGCCCAUCACCACCAUCAAGCUGCCCUACACCACCAUCAGACUGCCCUACUCCACCAUCAAGCUGCCCUCGACCACCAUCAGGCUGCCCUACACCACCAUCAAGCUGCCCUAGACCACCAUCAAGC